rnacentral:rRNA from 1 species
GAUUCUGGCUCAGGAUGAACGCUAGCUACAGGCUUAACACAUGCAAGUCGAGGGGCAGCAUGAUCGAAGCUUGCUUGAUGAUGGCGACCGGCGCACGGGUGAGUAACGCGUAUCCAACCUUCCCUAUAGUAGAGAAUAGCCCGGCGAAAGUCGGAUUAAUGCUCUAUGUUGUAUUUAGAGGACAUCUGAAGAAUACCAAAGGUUUACCGCUAUAGGAUGGGGAUGCGUCUGAUUAGGUAGUAGGCGGGGUAACGGCCCACCUAGCCGACGAUCAGUAGGGGUUCUGAGAGGAAGGUCCCCCACAUUGGAACUGAGACACGGUCCAAACUCCUACGGGAGGCAGCAGUGAGGAAUAUUGGUCAAUGGACGGAAGUCUGAACCAGCCAAGUAGCGUGCAGGAUGACGGCCCUAUGGGUUGUAAACUGCUUUUAUAUAGGGAUAAAGUCGGGGAUGUGUCCCCGUUUGUAGGUACUAUAUGAAUAAGGACCGGCUAAUUCCGUGCCAGCAGCCGC